rnacentral:lncRNA from 1 species
AGAAGCCAGACUGAGAAAGAAAAGCAUAAAGGACACGCAACAGCAUGAUGCCUGAGGUAGAAGUAUGAUAGUUGAACUUUAUUGUGCUCUAGAAAAAGCAAUAAACCCUUCUGCAAACUUCAUAAGAUAGCACAGUAAAAGGAACUCUACACCAAGAGGACAUUUUCCCUUCAAAAUAACAAAGCAGAACACAAAGUAAAUCAAAGCAUAUAAACGGAGAAAGGAAUUCCGUUGCCUUUGAAAUUGAACUCCAGAAAUAAUUUACUUAAAAAGAGUUCCUCAGAUAUAGCUUGAAGUCUAAAGACAAUCAUUGAUCAUCAACUGGUAUUCUCUUACUCCAUCAGCACUCCAGAUACAAAGCAAGAGAAAACCCAGAGUAAAAAAUUUAAAUGGACAAUAUUUCAUCUGCAACCUGGAAAGUCUUCUAUGCUUGCUGUUGUAUUGACUUUCCUACUUAUCUCAGAAAAUUGUGCAUUUAAUCAUCUCUCUCUAUUUUCUUUGACUCUUUUCCAGUGAGAGAGUAUAAGAUUGUUUACCUAAAGACCUCGAAGUCUAGCAAGAUAGGAAGCAAGUUGUUACUUAAGCAGGUUGGGGGGGCAUUAUGGGCACAAUGAAAAUUAAUCAUUGGUUCUCUUUGCCUAUCAAAAUACAUCGUUCACAUAGGACCCCUUUCCCCAAUAAAUUUAGAUCAUGCCUACUCUAGAAAAGGAAUCACAGCAUUGUCACUUCUUGAUGUUGUGAAGUAAUUUGUAAUGCGCAGAAAUGAUUUGAAUACAUGUCCCAACAGAGCUUUGUGAAGGAAACUCAAAGCUAUUCUGACAUAAUAGCAAAUGAUAGCAGAGAAGGGACUGAAGCACUGCAGCAAACCCAAAAUUGUUCCAAUAUUCAGCUGCUAGAACAAAAAAGAAAAGCCUCACUACUGAACCUUUUUCAUUUCGUAUAGCUGCUCAAAAUUUAGAAAACUCAUAGACCAUAAUCCAUUAAAACAGCAUCUAUUACAUCAAGUUCUAAUUGCUAAACUUGCUGGUAAAUCCUUGGGGUAAAGAGAUUGGAACUCUUCCAUUUUCAAUAAAGAUUAUUUGUAAAACUAAAAAAAAAUCCAUGAGACAAUCUGAUAGAUGUCUCAUUAUUCCUGAUCUGUGUUCUUUUUUAUUUCUUAGCCCUACCUCUACAACCGAUUAAAAUGCUUAGCCUAAAUACUUUCACCAUUUCAAAGAAACCACUACAAAAAGUGCUAUUUUUUGGCCGGGCGUGGUGGCUCACGCCUGUAAUCCCAGCACUUUGGGAGGCCAGGCGGGCGGAUCACGAGAUCAGGAGAUCGAGACCAUCCUAGCUAACACGGUGAAACCCUGUUUCUACUAAAAAAAUACAAAAACAUAAUUAGCCGGGCGUGGUGGCAGGUGCCUGUAGUCCCAGCUACUCGGGAGGCUGAGGCAGGAGAAUGGCGUGAACCCGGAAGGCGGAGCCUGCAGUGAGCCGAGCACGCCACUGCACUCCAGCCUGGGCGACAGAGCGAGACUGUCUCAAAAAAAAAAAAAAAAAAAAAAAUGCUGUUUUUUUCCUGGAUUUUAUGAGGAUAAAAUUUAGAUAAUCUUUUAAAAAUAUGUACAAUAUACCAAACUAUUUAAAUAGACAUUAGCAUUUUCUGUUAAAGUACUGACAUAGUAUUUGCAACUAUUUUUUAAAUCAUUUUUCUACUCUUGAUCGUUUAUAGUCAGAAUUUCAGUCAAGUUUAGCACUAUCCAAAAAAAUCAGACAGGAUGUGUUGCUUCACAAAUAAGAAGCUACAUGUAAGUCCUGAAGCACAAGGUUUAAGGAAAGGAUUUCAGCAAUGACUUAUUCAGCAGAUACUCAUCAUAUUUCCUCUUGUGAGUUCUGUUAUAUAGUCCAUAUUCCUAUGCUUAGAGCAGGGAUUAUUCUGCCUCAUUGGCCUUAAACUACAUCAGCCCUAUAACCUCUACUUCCCCACAGGUUUCAGUGAUCUCCCAAUUCUGUCGCAGAAAGCUUUUCCAACAAAGUACACAUUUAUAUUACAACCACACCCCAUAUGUCCUCCAUGAACUCUUAUUAAUUCUCCAAUACACAUGCCAUUUUAUUGCUCUGUGAAGUCUUCCAUGUUUUUUCCACGCAUGCUUUCUCUGCUGGCCUCUGUGUAUACCUCUAUUAUAUCAUAUAGUUCUGUGCUUAUCACGAAUUUUUGAUAAUGCAUUUCUGGCAAUAAAGGAGAAUAAAACAGACCCUCCAAAGAGUUUGGAUGAAUUAGAGCAAGGUGGCUUACCAUCAGCAUAAAAUUUCUUCCUUAAAGAUUAGUUUAAUUUUAUUUUAGAUAUAGGGGUACAUGUGCAGGUUUGUUAUAUGGAAAUAUUGCAUGAUGCUGAGGUUUGGAAUAUAGAUCCCACCACCAGGUAGUGAGAUGCUACCAGGUAGUGAUACAGAUGCUCCCACCAAGUAGUGAGCACAGUACGGGUUAAGUAGUUUUUCAACCCAUGUUUCCCUCCGCCAUUCCUCCUCUACUAGUCUGCAGUGUCUAUUGUUCCCAUGUUUAUAUGCAUGUGUGUUCAAUGUUUAGUUCCCACUUAUAAGUGAGAACGUGUAGUAUUUGCCUUUCUGUUCCUGCCUUAAUUCACUUAGGAAAAUGACCUCCAACUGCAUCCAUGUUGCUGCAAAGGACAUGAUUUCUUGAAAUCAUAUGUUUUAUCCGGUAAAAAUACCUUAAAAUAUUUCAUGCUAUGCCAUUAUGUGUCCUUUUAAAUUAUUUGUCAUUAAUAAAAUUGAAGUUUAAAAUUA